GACGAACGCUGGCGGCGUGCCUAAUACAUGCAAGUAGAACGCUGAAGAGAGGAGCUUGCUCUUCUUGGAUGAGUUGCGAACGGGUGAGUAACGCGUAGGUAACCUGCCUUGUAGCGGGGGAUAACUAUUGGAAACGAUAGCUAAUACCGCAUAACAAUGGAUGACACAUGUCAUUUAUUUGAAAGGGGCAAUUGCUCCACUACAAGAUGGACCUGCGUUGUAUUAGCUAGUAGGUGAGGUAAUGGCUCACCUAGGCGACGAUACAUAGCCGACCUGAGAGGGUGAUCGGCCACACUGGGACUGAGACACGGCCCAGACUCCUACGGGAGGCAGCAGUAGGGAAUCUUCGGCAAUGGGGGCAACCCUGACCGAGCAACGCCGCGUGAGUGAAGAAGGUUUUCGGAUCGUAAAGCUCUGUUGUAAGUCAAGAACGGGUGUGAGAGUGGAAAGUUCACACUGUGACGGUAGCUUACCAGAAAGGGACGGCUAACUACGUGCCAGCAGCCGCGGUAAUACGUAGGUCCCGAGCGUUGUCCGGAUUUAUUGGGCGUAAAGCGAGCGCAGGCGGUUUGAUAAGUCUGAAGUUAAAGGCUGUGGCUCAACCAUAGUUCGCUUUGGAAACUGUCAAACUUGAGUGCAGAAGGGGAGAGUGGAAUUCCAUGUGUAGCGGUGAAAUGCGUAGAUAUAUGGAGGAACACCGGUGGCGAAAGCGGCUCUCUGGUCUGUAACUGACGCUGAGGCUCGAAAGCGUGGGGAGCGAACAGGAUUAGAUACCCUGGUAGUCCACGCCGUAAACGAUGAGUGCUAGGUGUUGGAUCCUUUCCGGGAUUCAGUGCCGCAGCUAACGCAUUAAGCACUCCGCCUGGGGAGUACGACCGCAAGGUUGAAACUCGAAGGAAUUGACGGGGGCCCGCACAAGCGGUGGAGCAUGUGGUUUAAUUCGAAGCAACGCGAAGAACCUUACCAGGUCUUGACAUCCCGAUGCUAUUUCUAGAGAUAGAAAGUUACUUCGGUACAUCGGUGACAGGUGGUGCAUGGUUGUCGUCAGCUCGUGUCGUGAGAUGUUGGGUUAAGUCCCGCAACGAGCGCAACCCCUAUUGUUAGUUGCCAUCAUUCAGUUGGGCACUCUAGCGAGACUGCCGGUAAUAAACCGGAGGAAGGUGGGGAUGACGUCAAAUCAUCAUGCCCCUUAUGACCUGGGCUACACACGUGCUACAAUGGUUGGUACAACAAGUUGCGAGUCGGUGACGGCGAGCUAAUCUCUUAAAGCCAAUCUCAGUUCGGAUUGUAGGCUGCAACUCGCCUACAUGAAGUCGGAAUCGCUAGUAAUCGCGGAUCAGCACGCCGCGGUGAAUACGUUCCCGGGCCU
rnacentral:rRNA from 1 species